ACAGGCCAUGUCAAAUUCCUUUUCCGGUUAAAGAUCUCGUCGAGAACGGGUGUGCGCGCAAACGAAUCUUUUGUAAGAAGUGCCAUCAUAGGAAAAUUCCAUUGUGAAACAACUCGACACGGUACGGAAAAGACAUACCUUUCGGUUGAUCGCGAGAUUUUGGCUCACGCACCCGCUGAUUCCCUUGCUCGUACAAGAGGAGUGACGGGGCACGGGAGUCUCGCGACAGAUCCCGCUCGGAGGAAAGACGCCACAGCUUCAAAGACCGGACGGUCUUUCGCUUAUUGCGUGGGGCAGCGACCCACGUUAUUUAAACGCACCCCAUCGUCCAGUCGCCGGCUAAGUAAGCCGCAGAGCGCAGUCAGCCGGGGGCUGGAAUAAGCAAACGCCUUCCCGCUUGGGACCCUUCUCCUGCGAGGAGCACCCUAGACAGGGUUAAACAGCAGCGCGCGCCAAGGCGCGUGAAGAAGAAGCAGGAGCAAAUCAGGGAUGUUGCAGUGCUAAAGCCACCUGCGGCCUUCGUUUUCUCGGUUGCCCGAGCGCAGACCAUGCUGCAGUGAUGAAGCCAACUGCGGCCAUCGUCUUCCUGGUUGCCCAAUCGUCUGCCAAACAGAGGCAGAAUUCUCCGCCUUCGGCUGUCCUCUUCGCCCCGACUCUGUCCAGGAUUCCUCUUCCAGCAGCUUCAGGGAGCACAGUUCACAAAAUCAUAGGGUUCAGCGGAUGCUAGCCUCGUCUAUUACCAUCCUAAUGUUUAAAGUAUAAAAAUCUCACAAAAUUUGUAUAUUCAUGAAGAAUAAUUAUCAGCCAACCUCAUUAA